rnacentral:rRNA from 1 species
GAUGAACGCUGGCGGCGUGCCUAAUACAUGCAAGUCGAGCGAACGGACGAGAAGCUUGCGUCUCUGAUGUUAGCGGCGGACGGGUGAGUAACACGUGGAUAACCUACCUAUAAGACUGGGAUAACUUCGGGAAACCGGAGCUAAUACCGGAUAAUAUUUUGAACCGCAUGGUUCAAAAGUGAAAGACGGUCUUGCGGUCACUUAUAGAUGGAUCCGCGCUGCAUUAGCUAGUUGGUAAGGUAACGGCUUACCAAGGCAACUAUGCAUAGCCGACCUGAGAGGGUGGUCGGCCACACUGGAGCUGAGACACGCUCCAGACUCCUACGGGAGGCAGCAGUAGGCAAUCUUCCGCAAUGGUCGAAAGCCUGACGGAGCAACGCCGCGUGAGUGAUGACGGUCUUCGGAUCGUAAAACUCUGUUAUUAGGGAAGAACAUAUGUGUAAGUAACUGUGCACAUCUUGACGGUACCUAAUCAGAAAGCCCCGGCUAACUACGUG